rnacentral:rRNA from 1 species
UACGGAGGGUGCAAGCGUUAUCCGGAAUCACUGGGUUUAAAGGGUGCGUAGGCGGCUUGAUAAGUCAGAGGUGAAAGCCCACGGCUCAACUGUGGAACUGCCUUUGAUACUGUCAGGCUUGAAUUGGGUUGAGGCAGGCGGAAUGUGGCAUGUAGCGGUGAAAUGCUUAGAUAUGUCAUAGAACACCGAUUGCGAAGGCAGCCUGCCAAGCCUUGAUUGACGCUGAGGCACGAAAGCGUGGGGAGCGAACAGG